AGGCUGUCUGACUGCUGCAAGAUGUUUGUCAGAGCCCUACACCAUGACUAGGGGUCAUUGGUUCUUCACAAUCCCUACCUUGAAGAGGUAUUAUGGCCAGCCGUUACUUCCCGUUGAGAAAAGAUCCCUGCAAGCGUACUUGACUGGCUGUAUGCGUCUAAUACGUCUGCAAGCAGCAACUGAAGUGGGUGCUGCACAAUGUCAAUGAUCGAUGCACGUAAUCAUUACCCACAGCAGUGGUGUCGGUCAGUGGUGUAACUACCUUCCUCAACAAUCACCAGCUGCUGGCUUGUGACAGUUUUGACGAAAAUUAAUCGGUCUCUUUCAUUCCGUUAUCCCUUUGUCGACUCUGAGGAGAUGCUCGACAACCAUAUAAUUUGGUACUUCCCGUUUAGCCUAGUAUUUGCAGUAUUUGCUUCCUACACCAGCCACAGUGCUUUUCUUCCCACGUUCUUAUUUUUCCGCUGGACGGUUUGGGAUUAUCUUUUGUGUUACAUUCUUUCGUUUUCUGUUACAUCCUUUUCCUGUUCUUGUGUGUUAACGUUUCAGUGGAAUGGUGCAAUGCAUUUCCAACCAA